rnacentral:rRNA from 1 species
AUCCACGGAAGUUUUCAGAGAUGAGAAUGUGCCUUCGGGAACCGUGAGACAGGUGCUGCAUGGCUGUCGUCAGCUCGUGUUGUGAAAUGUUGGGUUAAGUCCCGCAACGAGCGCAACCCUUAUCCUUUGUUGCCAGCGGUCCGGCCGGGAACUCAAAGGAGACUGCCAGUGAUAAACUGGAGGAAGGUGGGGAUGACGUCAAGUCAUCAUGGCCCUUACGACCAGGGCUACACACGUGCUACAAUGGCGCAUACAAAGAGAAGCGACCUCGCGAGAGCAAGCGGACCUCAUAAAGUGCGUCGUAGUCCGGAUUGGAGUCUGCAACUCGACUCCAUGAAGUCGGAAUCGCUAGUAAUCGUGGAUCAGAAUGCCACGGUGAAUACGUUCCCGGGCCUUGUACACACCGCCCGUCACACCAUGGGAGUGGGUUGCAAAAGAAGUAGGUAGCUUAACCUUCGGGAGGGCGCUUACCACUUUGUGAUUCAUGACUGGGGUGAAGUCGUAACAAGGUAACCGUAGGGGAACCUGC